rnacentral:misc_RNA from 1 species
GAGAACAAUAAAAUAAAUUUCCUACUUUUGUUUUUAGAAAUUUCUGUCAAAAUUCUUUUAUUGUCUUUCUUUCUCCUCACGUCAAAUUUCAAGCCCAUCUCAUUUUGUUCCUUGGAAUUCAUUUUCUUUAUUUGUUAGGAAUUUUAUCAAAUCAUCUAAUUCCCGCAAUCUCCCAUAGAUCUAUAAAUUUGAACAAGAGAAAGAUACUGUAAAUUUGAACUAGAGGAAGAUACAGAGAAAUGGAUAGAAAUUGGGG